UACGAAGGGAGCUAGCGUUGUUCGGAUUUACUGGGCGUAAAGGGCGCGUAGGCGGUUAUGCAAGUCAGAUGUGAAAGCCCUGGGCUCAACCCGGGAAUUGCAUUUGAAACUGCAUGGCUUGAGUAUGGGAGAGGUAGGUAGAAUUCCCAGUGUAGAGGUGAAAUUCGUAGAUAUUGGGAAGAAUACCAGUGGCGAAGGCGGCCUACUGGACCAUAACUGACGCUGAGGCGCGACAGCGUGGGGAGCAAACAGG
rnacentral:rRNA from 1 species